AUUGAACGCUGGCGGCAUGCCUUACACAUGCAAGUCGAACGGCAGCACGGGAGCAAUCCUGGUGGCGAGUGGCGAACGGGUGAGUAAUAUAUCGGAACGUGCCCAGUAGUGGGGGAUAACUGCCCGAAAGAGCAGCUAAUACCGCAUACGACCUGAGGGUGUAAGGGGGGGAUCGCAAGACCUCUCGCUCUUGGAGCGGCCGUUAUCAGAUUAGCUAGUUGGUGGGGUAAAGGACUACCAAGGCAACGAUCUGUAGUUGGUCUGAGAGGACGACCAGCCACACUGGGACUGGGACACGGCCCAGACUCCUACGGGAGGCAGCAGUGGGGAAUUUUGGACAAUGGGCGCAAGCCUGAUCCAGCAAUGCCGCGUGCAGGAAGAAGGCCUUCGGGUUGUAAACUGCUUUUGUCAGGGAAGAAAUCCUCUAGGUUAAUACCCUUGGGGGGAUGACGGUACCUGAAGAAUAAGCACCGGCUAACUACGUGCCAGCCGCCGCAGUAAAAC
rnacentral:rRNA from 1 species